UAUGCACCCGCCUUAAUUGCUCCGGGCCAGGUACCAGAUAACUAGAGACAGCUGCUAUGCUCCAGCGUCCCGGAAAUUACUCAGAUUAGCCGAUCCAGAGGGAAUCUGAGGAACCCAGCUAACUCCACCUCACUUGCCACACAUAAACUGCCCCCUACAUACAGGUCCAGCCUGUGGGACAUUUUCCAGGUGCAACCCGCUCUGUGGCCCUGAGUGGCAGCCUUCUCUCUUUCAAAGUUGACCAUUUAUCACCAUAGCCUGUAAUAGGUGUAGGAUGGACCCACAGGACUGUGGGAUUUUCUUCCUGGCAGCCCUCAACUAAUACUAGAUGUAACAGAAAUUGUAACCAGAAAAUUCUCACAGAACAGAUGCCCUUGCAAUUGAAAAGCACUCCCUCUAAUAAUGCUUGGCAUAAUUUUUGUUAGCACUGAUCUAGGCGCUGCCUGAAGGGACUUUGUAGAUGCAAUUAAGAUUACUGUCCUGAAAAUAGAGAAAUCAUCUUGGAUUAUUUGAUGGAACAAAUCUAAUCACUUGAGCCACUAAAAGCAGAGAAAUUUUUCCAGCUGGAAGUGGAGAGAUGCAGCCAAGCGAUGAGGCAGAAGGGGAAAUAGGAGGUUUGAUGCAUGAGAAGUAGUUGAUCCGCUGUUGCUGGCUUUGAAGAAGAGAGACAACAUCCAGGGAAUGUGGAUGGCCUCGAGAAGCUGAAAAUGACCCCCUGGCUAAAGGUCAGGCAAGAAAGGAGAACCUCAGUUUUAUAGAUGCAAGGAACUGAAUUCAGUCAACCCUCUGAAUGAGCUUGGAAGCCAAUUCUUCUCAGAGUGUCCCGAUAAGAACCCAACUAGCCAAGACCAUGUUUUCAUCCCUGUGAAACCAGAAGCAAAGAAACCAGCCUAGUCAACCCAGACUUUCAAUCUAUAGAGCUGCGAAUUAAUAAAUUGGUAUUCUUUUAAGCC
rnacentral:lncRNA from 1 species